AGACCCACCCUUCAAUUUGCGUUUCACGCCGCAGCCACCCGUGUCAGCUGAGCCUUUGCAUCGUACCGUAUAUGCUCUGGCAGCGACGGUCGACCACAUCACCGACCUCGAAACAGCCAUGGGUUCCGGCACUGGCUUCUGCUGUAUGGCGUGCUUCGAAGCUUUAAGUCGCGGCUGCACCACUUACGGCCUGGACUUCUGCAAUUGCGGUUACAGGACUCUCUUUUGCUCCGGAAUUCUCGCACUGCCCAUUGGAGCUCCCGGAAUACGUAUGCGACGCGCGGCGGCCAUUGCAUCCUUUCUCACGCACGAGCUGUCGCGCCAACGACGCCGUUGCUGUCAAGCCUGAAGCCUUGUUUGUGGCGGUUUUUUUCUUUUGUGCGCGUGUUCCCACGGACCAACUCACCCUGCCAUUUAACCGAGGGACAACGAGGCAAAUGUCGUCGGCACGCGCUUCAACUACCUUGUGAGGUAGAGCUCGUGCAACCAAUUGACCGUGGCACUGCCUUGAGGGACAACGCUGCAACUGUCGCCACAGCGUAGCUUCGGCAUCUAAUCGCCGAGUUCAUCUAGCUACGCUGAAGCACGGACGUUGCCUUCUGUUCGCAGCGCGGCGCGUAGAGGCCAAAGUACGUGGCCGCUUUUCUUUUCCUUUUGUGCCACGCCGUGUUUUUUGUUGCUCGACACGCGGACCAUGUUUGACGAGUUCAUCUCUCCCGGCUGGUACGAUGACGCUUGUCAUGCUUCAGGUACGCACCCUAGGCCUCCGCUUCCAGCGCACUCCAGCAACGUCCCUGCGCCCAGCAGUGUCCCGGACCGUUGACGUUCAGUGCUUGUCGUGCCGUGGCUGACCGCCCGUGCACUUCUCCUCCAGCAACACAACUACUCGUUUCCUGGCAAAUGAAGAACCCUGCACGACCCACCCUGCAUCUGCGACCUUUGUCUUGACAUCCGCCGCCCCUCAAGAUUUGCUCCGCCUGCGUAGUAGGCCAUGACGUCCAGUGCUCACCGUAGUGUGGCAAGCCUUGCUCACGAGACAGUUCGUCACGUUGCUACACCCGCUGGCGUUGAGUUGCAGGAAAAGUCCCUCUCUGCCUGCUCCGUGCUGCCUCGAUGACGCUGCACAACUACGGAUUCGUGACGCGAACAUCGAUCACGACAUCCCUGUGCGAGUUCUUUCCGCCCGGUAGCUGUAUCACGGCCGUUCGACACAGUCUCGUAUUGAGGGUCCCUGACUGUUUGACGAGCGGACCGAAACAAUUACAGGUAACAUGCUGGCUCGUCUGUGGUACACUGCUCAGUCAGUCUGGAGGUUGGUGCGCGUUAAUUCACAUCCUGUGCUCUCGUAAUGGUACGCUGAUGCUGGGUCGUAUUGUAAAGUUGCGCGCGCGUAUGAGCAUGGGUGUGUGUGUGCGCGUCUGUUGUGCCCUGUAUGAUGUCUAUUUAUUUACGCGCGUGCGACUUCGAUCACUUCAUAUGGUUGUUGUCAUAUUUUUAGCUGGGUGCGUCCUCACUUCUUCCAUGGAAUUCUUGGUGAAUGGCCUCGUCUCAUCUGUGAAUUCUUCAGAAUGCUCUUUGAUGGUUCCGCAGUGAUGGUCGCCAAUCUUUUCCAAAAUCCUUCCAAGUUUGGCUCUGGGCGUUCCCUUUAAUUGAGGCGUCCAGUGGUCUAUUUGUCGGUGGCCCUUGCCUCGUCAGCUUUUAUAAUCCAAGGGGUGUCUGUUGGCAUAUCUUCCUUGUAUUCAUCUUUAUUCAUCAUGGCUAAUGCGAAGCAUCAGCGUACCGUUAACAAAAGGCAUAUGGCAUGAAUUAAAGGCAACAAAAGAUUUCCAUUAGCUUGUGAGCAUCAUGCUUAUCAGCUUAUCCUUUGAAAUAUAGUGGUGGCAUGGCGCCAAGAUUAUUUGUAAAAACCUGUCUACAGUCAUUAUUCAUGUUAGCGGUAAAGCUGCGUACCACUACACAGCCAAGCAAAGCAGAUGCUGAACCUCCCUUCAGCAAGACUGGACAUUGAUCGGCAGCCAAUAUACCGCACGUGCCUGCGAUGUUACGUCUUGAUCGCUGUUACUUUUGUCCUUCACUGUUCACUGCCCUGUGUAUAUUUAGUUGCUUGCAUCCACUUGUACUUUUCUAUAACAUCUACUUGCUGUACAAUGUUGACUGCAACUUAAUAAAAUGACGGUGUUCUUUUUC